AUCUAUAAAAAGAGCUCUUUCUCCUUUUCAUAAUAAUAAGGUAAGCAUCCAGCUCUCGAUCCAGAGCUACUGCUUCAAGAAUCAACUGAGCUCAGGAAGUCAGGUUAAGACGUCGACUUUGACAGGGGAGAUGAAAAAGAAUUCCUGUCUUUAGAAGUAAAUCCCACUAAACUAGACUUGUACGCUUGACAUGAAAAGUAGAGGCAAGCGGAGUCAAAGGCCGAGCCUCAACCAGCAAAGGGGGACAGCCAUGCCAAUCCAAGCACAGUAAAAGUGUGCCCACUCUACCCUUCUUUCUUUACCCUAGACUUCGUUCUUCAAGGAGACCCAUGUGCAUUUCCUCUGUUCUGUGCUCGCUACGCCCUUGUGCCUUUAGUUGAAGUAUAGGUCGUCGAUUCAAUCUAUCUUGAUGGGAUUUUUCUAGUAGGUAGCGAGAAGACUAGUAGUAUCGACAAGGGGCUACAUCAAUAGCUGAAACUUUUUUUCGGGUAGGGUAGGCUUGGAGUCAGAAGUCCUAUUCUUCCCAACCAAAUAAGCACUUUUGCAAAGUUCACCUUCCCGCGGUCAAAACAAGACUUACGGAUAACAAUCAGACCUUACCAGGGACAGGGACCAGACUAUAGAGCCUAAUUAAAAAGAAUUCGGGC
rnacentral:lncRNA from 1 species